GUGAGGAAUAUUGGUCAAUGGGCGGGAGCCUGAACCAGCCAAGUCGCGUGAAGGAAGAAGGAUCUAUGGUUCGUAAACUUCUUUUGCAGGGGAAUAAAGUGCGGGACGUGUCCUGUUUUGUAUGUACCCUGAGAAUAAGGAUCGGCUAACUCCGUGCCAGCAGCCGCGGUAAUACGGAGGAUCCGAGCGUUAUCCGGAUUUAUUGGGUUUAAAGGGUGCGUAGGUGGUUUGAUAAGUCAGCGGUGAAAGUUUGCAGCUUAACUGUAAAAAUGCCGUUGAAACUGUCAGACUUGAGUGUAAAUGAGGUAGGCGGAAUGCGUGGUGUAGCGGUGAAAUGCAUAGAUAUCACGCAGAACUCCGAUUGCGAAGGCAGCUUACUAAGCUACAACUGACACUGAAGCACGAAAGCGUGGGGAUCAAACAGGAUUAGAUACCCGAGUAGUCC
rnacentral:rRNA from 1 species